CCUACGGGAGGCUGCAGUGGGGAAUAUUGCACAAUGGGGGAAACCCUGAUGCAGCGACGCCGCGUGAGUGAAGAAGUAAUUCGUUAUGUAAAGCUCUAUCAGCAGGGAAGAAAAUGACGGUACCUGAGUAAGAAGCCCCGUCUAACUACGUGACAGCAGCCGCGGUAAUACGUAGGGGGCAAGCGUUAUCCGGAUUUACGGGGUGUAAGGGGAGCGUAGACGGCAGUGCAAGUCUGGAGUGAAAGGCGGGGGCUCAACCCCCGGACUGCUGUGGAAACUGUACGGCUGGAGUGCAGGAGAGGUAAGUGGAAUUCCUGGUGUAGCGGUGAAAUGCGUAGAUAUUAGGAGGAACACCAGUGGCGAAGGCAGCUUACUAGACUGUAACUGACGUUGAGGCUCGAAAGCGUGGGGAGCAAACAGGAUUAGAUACCCUGGUAGUC
rnacentral:rRNA from 1 species